GACUGGACAGGCUAAUCUUGGGACUCUUAGACGACAUGUUGAUGUAAUGGCUUGUUCUGGAAAUUCGUCGGCGGGGAAUCCUCCGGCUUCUAUGAUUUCUACCACUCUGUCUUCCUGUCAUAUUCCGACGACAUAUACUUGAGGGAGCCCAAGAAACGACUACUACAUUCAACAAACGGAAAAAAAAAAAUAGAGGCUGGAAAUACAUCUUUUCAUACUCUGGAGAGCUCCAAAGAGGAUCAAUGCCAAAUUGUGAGCAACUUUGUUUUCCUCCUUAAAGAAUUUUACAAAAGCAAAAAAUAUUUACAUUGGUAACAAGGUAUAGGGUCUCUUUUGUUAAAAAAAUCAAGUUUAGAAAGAUCAAUAUCCAAAAACUUUAGCAGUCUAAAAACCUCCAAAAAAAUCUAUUGCAACUUCCACGGGAGGAACAUGCCACUGAUAUUUUGAACAUUUAGGGUCAAAAUUGAAAUAAAAUAGGUCAUUUUUGUACGUUCAUUUUUGUUUUAUUUUUUUCAUCUAAAAAUCAAAAUAUAUAUUUUUAAAAUUUAAGGUUAUCGAACUAAAUUAAAAGUAUAAAAAAUAUGAUAAAUCUAUUUUGAAAAUAUAAGGGUCAAAAUGAACAAAAAUCGAAAUCAUAUAGAUUAAAGAAGUAUUUAAACCUAUUUUUGAAAUGCUCUUAAAUUUGAAGAUAGGUGGAUCGAUAAUGUUCUUAUACCAUUUUGCCCGCUACUCGAGGCGUGUAUGAAUAUCCAAGAAGAAGUGUUCCUAGAUGUGUGUAAGGGUUAAAUGAGGAAGAAUGGAUGAGGGAAGGAUGUCUUGCCAUGGAGUGAAGAAUUUCUUUGGUCUCAUAUAAGAAACCAAAAUGCACCUCAAAUGGUCGCUGAGAAACUUGGUUUAAAGAAUUUUCAAAAUUCUACUUCUAACUCCUCAUGGCCUUUUAAAAUUCAUUCAAAUAUAUAGCUGAACAAUUUUAUUAUUAAGACAAGUGAAAGAGAUCAUUAUGAUUGCUAAGUUGUAAACAUAGCAAGGAUAGAUUGAUAACUUUUUAAUAUUAUGAAAAUAUUUCCUACGUCCACUAAUACUUAUGAAGACAAAUUUAUAGUGUGAAUACAUAUUAUGAUACUCUCAUAUUACUAGAAUUUCUCUUCCGCACUUAUCAUGCCAAUUUGUAAUUAUUUUUUGGAAGUCAGAUAUGUAACUUUAAAAGUCAAACAAUAGUAUAAUUAAAGUUCAUGACUAUUUUGGCUAAACUAUUACCAACAUUGAUCUA